CCUACGGGGGGCAGCAGUGGGGAAUUUUGGACAAUGGGCGCAAGCCUGAUCCAGCCAUUCCGCGUGAGUGAAGAAGGCCUUCGGGUUGUAAAGCUCUUUCGCAAGGGAAGAAAACUUAUCCUCUAACAUAGGAUGAGGUUGACGGUACCUUGAUAAGAAGCACCGGCUAACUACGUGCCAGCAGCCGCGGUAAUACGUAGGGUGCUACCGGGCGUCGGGCGUGCUCAGCGUGUUGCGUGAGUAGGCUGUGAAAUCCCCGAGCUCAACUUGGGAACUGCGUUUGAAACUACAAGACUAGAAUAGGUCAGAGGGGGGUAGAAUUCCACGUGUAGCAGUGAAAUGCGUAGAGAUGUGGAGGAAUAUCAAUGGCGAAGGCAGCCCCCUGGGAUCAUAUUGACGCUCAUGCACGAAAGCGUGGGGAGCAAACAGGAUUAGAUACCCCGGUAGUC
rnacentral:rRNA from 1 species